rnacentral:rRNA from 1 species
GUGGAUUAGAUACCCUGGUAGUCCACGUCCUAAACGAUGUCAACUAGUUGUCGGGGAUUCAUUUCCUUGGUAACGCAGCUAACGCGUGAAGUUGACCGCCUGGGGAGUACGGCCGCAAGGUUAAAACUCAAAGGAAUUGACGGGGACCCGCACAAGCGGUGGAUGAUGUGGAUUAAUUCGAUGCAACGCGAAAAACCUUACCUACGCUUGACAUGUCAGGAACCUCGAAGAGAUUUGAGGGUGCCUGAAAGGGAGCCUGAACACAGGUGCUGCAUGGUCGUCGCCAGCU